rnacentral:rRNA from 1 species
GACGAACGCUGGCGGCGUGCUUAACACAUGCAAGUCGAACGGAAAGGCCCUGCUUUUGUGGGGUGCUCGAGUGGCGAACGGGUGAGUAACACGUGAGUAACCUGCCCUUGACUUUGGGAUAACUUCAGGAAACUGGGGCUAAUACCGGAUAGGAGCUCCUGCUGCAUGGUGGGGGUUGGAAAGUUUCGGCGGUUGGGGAUGGACUCGCGGCUUAUCAGCUUGUUGGUGGGGUAGUGGAUUACCAAGGCUUUGACGGGUAGCCGGGCUGAGAGGGUGACCGGACACAUUGGGACGGAGAUACGGCCCAGACUACUACGGGAGGCAGCAGUGGGGAAUAGUGCACAAUGGGCGGAAGCCUGAUGCAGCAACGCCGCGUGCGGGAUGACGGCCUUCGGGUUGUAAACCGCUUUCGCCUGUGACGAAGCGUGAGUGACGGUAAUGGGUAAAGAAGCACCGGCUAACUACGUG